rnacentral:lncRNA from 1 species
CCUGAUUUCCUUCUCCCCAAAGAGGUUCGAUUCCCCCUUCAGCCCCGUAGCCUAGCAACUGGGGUGGAGGCGGGUUGUAAUGGUGGACUAAAACAGGCGAUCCCCUGUCUGAAGAGAUGCUCCUUGGGAAGAGACCCACCGAGGGGAAGUGGCGGCGAUACAUGACAUUGUAAGAGACAGAAGCCCGGGCACUUACUUACUGAUCUUGUGGCAGAAGGAGGGCGCGAGUCUUACCUCUCUCCUUCGGAUGCUGCCCAGCUGUUGGGGUGUGCACAGACCGCUCCUCCGAGAUGCGGGAAGGUGAUCAGAGCGGCUCUCCCACGCCCCGGCAGCCACGCUCGCCCAGCCCCGCUGCACCUGACCAGCUCCUGAGCUUGGAAAUUGGCCUGCAGCGCGGCGCGUUCUGACGCACGGAUGAACUCCCCAGAUCUCUGCGCGGGGCUGGGACCCAACCUCACUCUUCCAGCUGCAGCGGGUGGUCCACGCCGGUAGCCUCCCGGCUGCAGAAAGCUGAACGUCUCCGGUCUGCUGCGGAGCAGAUCCCACUCCGCUCUGAUCAGCCCGUGUGGAAACACAGCCACAUCUCCGCCUCUGCUCAGUCUCUGGGCAACUUCUGUCACAUCCCUCUGGGUCUCACUCGGAGCCACUUUCUGGAGAGCCAGCUACCUCUCUGCCUGCGCCCGGAUCUGCUCCUACCCCGAGAAGACCAGCCACAGGCUAGGUGCUCCUGUGCAUUCCUGAGUCUCCCGGAAAAGCUGGAGCAAGCAGCCGGGUGUAGCGUGGGCCAAGAGAGCAGGGGCUCCCGGAAAAGCCACAGCAGCUUCCAAAAAUAGACAAGUGCCCUUGAAGAAUGUCAUCUUGAAUCAAGCCGGUGCUGCUUCUCCGGGCGGGAGACUCUCUGAUCUAUCCAAGACGUCCCCUGUGGCUCUCCCCUCUGCCGGCUGGCACAAGAUGGAGGCUGUGCAGUCCCCUGCUUGGAUUGAUGGGGGAAAACCAGGCCCCUCCUGGGAUCUGUCUCAGCACGUCCGUACUGAUCUA